AAGAAUUUGGAGAAGACUUCCCUUUUGGAGUUGUUGCUGCUGCAAAGCUGUUUCUAGCUCCCGCGUAGUUUCUUUUUGAUUGCACCUGCUUCUUGCAAGGUUGCUUUUGGAUUGCACAUGUUUCCUGUUUUUCAAAUAAAGAGCAAUUGUUAAUUUGAAAGAGUGGUUGGUUUUGCGUCCUUGAGUAUUUUAGUCACUUGAUCUUGGCUUCUUUGAUGAUAAUUUCACUUGCAACUAGUUGUUUCCUGAAUACCAAUGCACUUCUGGCCCCAGAGAACCCUUGGCUUUUCCAAAACAUUGCCAUGACAGUCGACUACUUAGGACUUAACCUUUUUCAACUUUAUUUUGUCUUUGUAGGCCUUUGACUUCUUUCUUCCAAUUUUAACUUCAGAGCUUUGGGGAACCUUUGGCUCUUCAAACUUUACCAAGACGGUUAACCACUUGGGACUUAACCUUUUCAACUUUAUUUUGCUCUUGUAGGCACUUUUAAUUUUGAUUUACUCCUUCUAAGAGUCUUUGAUUUCGAAGCAUCGGCGGCCAUGGCCAGUCGGGGUCGACUUGAUGCCCCUGCCGAGGCUGGGUGCCUUUUUUGCAUAUUAGCUUGUAUCAAACGAGAGCCCCAGUAAAUUAGUAUUUCCAUCCCUUAUUUUAGUUUUUUGAACAAGAUUGGACCGAAAGGGAUUCAAUAAAAAACAAACAAUGAAAUGGACAAUGAAUUUAAACAAGAGAUGCCCUUUCAAGGAAAGGAAAUAGGGACUUAUUUGGGAGUACAUGCGGACUUCAAUGAAAAUGACAUGUCUUUUGGACUGGAUGCCUUAUCCAUGUAAACCAUCCGACUCUCAGAAACUCAUCACAAAUUUGCCUUGGAACCGAGAAACAUUGCCCAGGACUGUAUUGAUACCAUGGCUAUGAGGAUCCUCUUUUUCGAUUAGUGGCGCCCUUUGCGGGUUUUCACCAACUAACCUCUCUCAUUUCUCUUCUCACCAUCAUCUUAUAGUGCUCUUUAUGAGUUUUCACUAAAAAGACUCUCAUUUUUAAUUUCUUUACCUAUCAUCACCUUACGGUGCCCGUGAGGGUUUUCACCAACAAGACUCUCUCAUUUUAUUUCUCUCAUUUUGGUUGCAUCAGAUCCAAGUACCUGUGUCUUCCAAUUUUGAACAUUCUUGCCGAUUGAUCGGAAGGACUUGAAGAAGAUUUGGGUAAAAAGAAUUCGGAUUGAAUUACAACUUUGGAACCCUUCAGGAGAAACCAUCGCCGAACAAUUAUAGCAUCUGCCUCAGUUUUCACUUUUUGGGGAAUAUGGAUUUUUGUUUUAGUGUGACUGAACCCCAGAGAGAGGCUGCCUACGUAUCCUUUCAGAAUCAAGUCAAACGUAGUUCAAUUGACUUUGUUUUUGAUUUCCUUAUGUCUUUUUUUUCUUUUGUUUCUUUUUCUUUUCAUUUUUCUUUUUUCUUUUUUUCAAUAAUAACUUCCAGGUUCCAAAGAGGGUGAUCAAAGAAAGGGAACCGAUUCAAAGGGUUUGCAAAGAGUUGAUAGUGUUUGGGUAGCGAGAAUGAAAGCCUUCGUCAUCCCAAUCAUAGAACACUAAUGCUACAUAGAGGGCCAAACAUAGUACAAUUUGACUGCAUCCGCGUUGACUGUUGUUUUAGGGACAUUUCCUUCGAUACUUCCCAGGUACAACGCUCUCUUUUGGCAGUACUCUCGUUACAAUGUAUGGACCUUUUCAAUUUGGAGCCAAUUUUCUUUUAGCUUCUUCAUGAGGUAGGAGGAUACAUCUCAGAAUGAGUUGUCCUAUUUCAAAUUUCCAGGGCCGCACUUUCUUGUUGUAGACACGGGCCAUUCUUUGUUGGUACAACUGCCCGUGGUAAAAUGCGGCCAAUCAUUUUUCAUCAAUGAGUGUCAAUUUUUCUAAUUGAUUCUUGACCCAAUCUUUAUCCUCAAUCUCGGCUUCAAUAAUAAUCCGAAGAGAGGGAAUUUCAAUUUCUUCCGAUUUCAUUCGGACCUGGCUUAGUCCUACUGUUCCAAUUCUUUGUUUAUUUUCUCACAAGCCUUAUCUUCAAUACAUUCUGCUUCUUGAUUCAUUAUUUCGAGGUCUGACAGUGUUUUAGGAUCUGGGCAUGAAGUCCGUAAGCAUGUCAUGUUAUUAAAAUCUGCAUUAACAGAACUGAAAAAAGAAUAAGAAAGGUGGCAAGAUUAAGAAACGAGACAUUCCUCGAUAAUAAAAUAUUAAUUUCAUUUGAUUUUUUAUUUUUUUAUUUUUAUUUUUAUUUUUAUUUUUAAAGAUAGAAGGGUUUACAUCAGAAAGCAAAGAAGUGAAGUAAAACAUCUGGAUUACACCCUGAAAUAAUCUGGACGUAGAAAAGACAGCAAGACCGGCUACCGAGAUUCCCGUCUAACAGAGGACUUUUCAGAUUUGGCGCCCGUUUUUGGGUUUCUCUUCUGCCCCGGCAAUGACUACUAUGGCUUUCAAUGCUGGAUCAAAUUCCAUAUCAUCACAAAUUAUUCCAAUGGCUGGGCCAGUGUUGUGAGCAGGCAACGGAUUAUUUGUUACAUUAGGGGCUUCUUCUUCCUUGAGAAUUAUUGACUUGACCUCAACGAGGUCCUCCACUACUCUUUUGAGAGUCCAACAAUCUUCAGUAUUAUGUCCCACUACUCCAUAGUGGUAUUCACAUCUAGCAUCAGCUCGAUGCGGGGGGAACUCAGGGUUUGGCCGGUUCGGGGCCACUGGCUGCAGCAAACCUAGCCUGAUUAGCUUUUGAAACAAACUUGAAUACGAUUCACCAACAGGGGUGAACUAAUUCCUUCUGAGGGGAUCUUUUGGGUGAGGAUUGUAUUGGGGAACAUUUGGUUGGGGAUUAUAUGGAGCUUGGUAGGGACGUGCAUUUCUGGGAGGUGGAGCUCAGUUUUGUGUAUAAUGUUAUGGCCGCGUGUAAUGUUGCACGUUCAUCACCGCAUAGGGAGGCGGUGCCACGGCAUAAGCAGUAUCUUGAUGGGGAUAAUAGUGUUUUGGGAUCUUAGAAAGCAUAUAUGAUUGGUUGCAUGACCUGCAGGCCCUCCUUUAGCUCGAAGCCAUCAUGGCUCCCUCUUCUCUCCAGUUUCUGUUUACCACCCCCCCCCCGAACCAUUCUGAAUAGCUCGUGAUGUGGCCUUAAAGGCAGCAUGACCUAAGAUUCGGCCCGUUUUUAAACCAUUUUCGACCAUCUCCCCAAUUUUGAUAGCCUCACCGAACGGUUUACCCAUAGUGAACAUCAUGUUAUGGAAGUAGUCCGCCUCUUGGGCCUGUAGGAAGACUAUAACCAUUUCUACUUUGUCCAUUGGAGGCUUUACCCUGGCGGCUUGCUCGCGCCAUUUGACAGCAUAUUCACGGAAACUUUCCGCGAUUUUAUUUUUCAAACUGGACAAAGAGUUUCUGUCAAGAGCGAUGUCCACAUUAUACUGGAACUGGCAGAAAACAUCUCGGGCCAAAUCUUCCCAUACAUGCCAAUGGUUAAUUUUUUGAUCCAUGUACCACUCGAAAGCAAUUCCGGUGAUACUUUCUCCAAAAUAUGCCAUUAAUAGCUCUUCUUUUCCACCAGUGCCCCUCAGCUGGUUACAGUAUCGUUUUAGAUGAGCGAUCGGGUCUCCGUGCCCGUCGUACCUUUCAAAUCUUGGCAUCUUGAAGCCAGAUGGCAAGUGGACAUGGGGAAACAUGCACAAGUCGGCAUUAGAGACGCUCUUUUGGCCACUCAAACCUGCAUGUUCUUUAAACUCUGCUCCAAGCUUUUUAUCUUCCGAGCCAUUUCCUCUUGCUCGGGAUUGUUGACAACAUUUUCUUGUUCAACCGAGAAGUCAUAUUGCGGAGGUUGAGUGAAUGAGUAUGGGGUCACAUAUGUUAUUUCUAGUCGAAACUGUGGACCCUGAAAGGUGAACGUUGGAGGCUCAACAUACAACCGUGGCAUAGUUGGUCAUGUUGUGGCGCAAACUGGUGCUACAGAGAACAUUGCUGGUGGUGCCCUUGAAACCGGUGCAUGGGGGUGAACCACAUAAGGCAUGUCAGGACCGCUAGAUGGCAUUGGAGGGUAUCUGCAUGGGAUGAACAGGUUGGGCACAGGGACAUUGGUAGCCUUCCCUGACCUGGGGAUCAACUCAGGGAACCCAUGGAUUGCACUCGGCGGUUCCCUACCUUUAGACUAGGCAUCCCACAUUUCCAACGUGCAUGGACGCAAUAUCCUAUUUUCUUUAGCAGUUGCUGAUUCUGGCUGUGGAAUAGCCGAUGUCGGGCUAUCCUCAAGGUUGAUAAUUUUUAGAUUACUUUUGAAGGCCAUAGGAUCCCUGCCUUGGAUCUUGUGAAGUAAGGAUGGGAAGCCAGAUUACCAACAAAAAUCAAUCACCUGAAUAGAAUCUGGCUAAUUUGCACACGCAACAACCUUGUUAGUUUUGAAACAUUUAAGAGAUAGGAAAUCAUACGUUGGGAUGCAAUGCACCUAAAUAGUUAAAUACUUCUAUCAUGUGUUUGAACGGUUGUGUGUUUCAUCCCGGCUUUAACUGACCCUUUUUCACUCUAUACCUCUUUUCUUUUCAUUUCACGUUUUUUUUGAAUUUUUGGAUCUUUCAUAUUUUUUUUCCUUUUUUUUUGUUUUCUUCUUCUUUUGUUUUUAUUGUUUUUCGCUCUUUGUUUUUCUCUGUUAUUUUUUGUCACUCUUUUCUUUCUUUUUCUUUCUUCUCUUUCUUUUUCACUCGGUUUAUUUAAUGUCUAUGAUCGCAUCCGAUGAGAAUUGCCUACGUAUAAUGACGCCACAUGAAUCAGAUCAUCACACAGUUGAGGAAUACCAUGAAUAAAGUAAAUGAGCUAACUCUUUUUUCUAAUUUAUUCACCAUUUGUUUUUCUCUUCUUUUUUUUUAAAAUCGUACCACAAAAAGCUCCUAACAAGAAAAAUAUUUUGGAUUUUGAUUGUUUUUUUUUGGAAUUUCGAAAGAAAUACUUCUAAAGAAGAAAGAAAAUAAUUUAGAUUUUGAUUUGAAUUUUUUUUCUUUUUUCUUUCGAAUGAAAGACUUCAGAAAAGAAGGAAAAUAUUUUUGGAUUUACUUUUUUUUUGGAUUUUCUAAGGAAAGAAUUUUAAAUAGGGAAUUAAGGAAAAGAAAAAUAUUUUGGGAUUUAUUUUUUAAAAAUUGGGGGCUGGAACCGAUGAGGUUUGCCUACAUAUCUCACAUCCGGUGAGAAUCAGACCCGCGUAGUUCGGUCAAUUUUGACACAACAGGAAAAAUAUGACUUUUGAAAACAUUUGCUCAUUUUGAAAUGACUUUUCUUUUUCUCUUUUGUUUUUCAAAAUUUCGGCAGAGUUUCGGGAUUUUUCAAAUACUUAGAUUUUUCAUAACCGAGUAACUUUUCUCUCUCCUACCUCACUCUUAGUUUUUUUUUCUUGGUUUUUUUUCCUACUCUAGAAGCCGGUCAAUAUGCAGGUCGAAACAAACAAAUGCACAAGUAGCAUGUAAAAUGCAUCAGGAUGGUCUUUUAGUUUAGGUACACCUGUCUUAGAUGGACCCAACCCCUAUGUUGAGUCCCCAAAGGCAAAUGCACGUGAUGCAAACAACGUUCCUACUAGGGAUCCGGCAUGAGGCUAUGUUAUUCUAGGUUUGAAUCCUAGGGGUGUAUUUUAGACCUGGCUUACCCAAGCGGAUAGCUCGAGCCGAAGUGGGGGCAACGUACCGGGAGCACGAAAGUCUACCCGACCUAGUUAUUGAUCCAGCCUCGUUCUAUUUGGUAUGACCUCUAACAAAAAAGUGGGCCACGCGCACGUGUGCACCAUAAAUUCAGAAGACUCAGAAGGGAGGCGUAAGAAGGCAUUUUAUACAUUUCAAAUAAUAUCAAAGCGGUAAAUUAGCGGUAAUUAGCACAUUAGGCCCACAAAUACAGUAAUAUCAGCAAUCAAGAAAGUCAAGUAUAGAUCACAUUAAUAAGUUCGAAUUCUGAACCCUAAACCAGAGAUUUCGGGUUCUUAUUCCCCAACAGCGUCGCCAGAGCUGUCACACCUACUUUUUUCCGAGGAAUAUGGGGUUUUUCCAAUUAAAGUAAUAUUAUUCGAAAUGAGAUUAUUUAUUUUAUUAGAGUCACCACUUGGAAUAAUUAUCAUGGUGUCCCAAGUCACGGGUUUGUUUUAAAAUUCCAAAUCGAGGAAAUUAACUCUGUUUUAAAGUCCGCGAAACACAAAAGACCGGUAAGGAAUUCUGUUAAUUCGAGAGAAGGUAUUAGGCAUUCCCGGAUUCUAUGAUUUUAGCACGGUCGCUUUACAAUCCACACUUAGCUUAUUAAUUGAUUAUUAUGUAUUUUAGAACCUACGUGCAUUUUAGCCUUUACCGCUUUUAAAUUACAUGUUAUGGCGUUAUGGAAUUAUCUUGAAAUGAACCACGUGUGUGGAUCCAUUUUAUUUAGUGUACUAAAAUCAUGUCACGCGUACGUGUACACAAUUUGCAACACUUUAUUAAUCUUAAGGUUGCUUUGCAAAAGUCGUGCAAACACAUACUUUGCCUUUAAUUUGAAAAUCAUAAUUAUGUCACGCGAACGUAUAUAUAAUCACGAUAAUUGAUUUAUUAACACACGCCUAAAAUAUACUAGUGAUUUGUGAGUUAUUCUUUGCUACAUUUGGAAUAAUUGUGAAGUUUGUGAUCUAUGGAAGUUACUGUGGAAAAAUAUGAAAUAGUUUAAGGUAGGCUAGCUUUGUUAUUAAAGAGAAAAUGGGCGAGACAUAUUAUCAUGGAAAUGGGCCUGGCAAAUUAUUUGUUAGGCCCAUAUCCCUUUGCUAAAAUUAAUUCCCUUAAACUCAACCACAUGGUCAACUUAAAAUCAAAGCCCAUGUUCUGAUAAUCAACAUAACCCAUUAUCCAUUUUAGUAGCCCAAUAUCUAAAACCCAACUCACUAAUGAUUUUUCUUUUUAAUAACAAACACUAAGCAAACCAAAAAAAAUAAAAAUAUCACUCUUUAAUGCUAUGAGAUUUCUAAACAAACUAAUGAAUGUUUUGCUUGUUAAAUAUCAUAUCCACAUUCUGCAAGAUUUAACGAUUAAGCUAAGCUCUCAAUAUUCAUUCAAGAUUUUUAACUAAAAUAAAAUAAUUAAACAACUUAUCAGAAACAAACAAACAUGGUAUUCAACUAAUAAUCGUAAAGGAAAGAUUGAGAAUGAACCUCAACUGAAAAUAUUAUACAUGAUUUUUGGUGAGCAAAGCCUCCGAAAAAACUUUUACAAUGACCACCCACGACUCACACUAGUUAACCGAUAAUAGAGCCUAGACCCAAAAUCGAUUUGAGACCGGAAUUUGGAACGGAAAACCUUGCUUGAACCUCACGCAGAAGCGUGUUCGGCGACCUUGACUCAAAACCUUGGUUGAAGUGUGUGUGUUUUAGUGAUGUUUUGAGCUGCUGUUUCAGGUGGUUUUAUAGCUGAGAAAGAGUUGAUUUUAGGUGGAUUUUAGGAGGUAUUUUUUGUGUUGUUUUGACUGGUUUUGGGGUGUUAUAGGAUGGCAAAGUAGGGGCUGUUUUGCGGCUGAUUCUUGCUAAGUUUUGGGGCUAUUUUUUCAGCAAGUCCGUAGUUGGUUCUGCUGUAUUUUUGGACAGCUUUCAGCUACGUUUUUAGGUGACGUUUUGGGGUCGAUUCCAGCUGGGUUUGGGGUGAACUUUUUGCUGGUUUGGAGCUGAUUUUUUACGAUGAAAAUGGUUCUUUACAUGGUUAUUUUUUGGUGAUUUAAUGGAGGGAUUUGAUGUUGCUUCAAUUGGAUCGUAGGUGAUGGAGAAGGUGGUUGAUUUUUACUGAGAAAGUGAUGUUUGAUGGCUUAAAAGAGCAGCUACAGUGGAGGUCGUUGGUGAAGCUACAACCUUAGGUGGUGGAGCGGAGUUUAGGAAGCUACUUUGAUGGUUGAAAAUGGCGAUUGGUUCAUUCCCCCCUUUUUUUAGAUUUGUUUUCCUUUUUCCUGUUUUCCUGUGUUCUCUCUCUCUUUUCUGUUUUUCCAGCCCCGAUUUUUGUUAUUUACUCCUAAGUACUAAAAUCUGUCUUGUCCUUCUUUCCUUUUUUUUUACAAAUCAGUCCCUUUCUAUCUUCUAGGAGCUUCUAAAUUAGUUAGAGACAGAUUCUCCCAAAUUUCCUAUUCCUUGUAACCCCCCUUGAAUUCUUGUAAAUUACUCUUCUUUUAACCUUUUCUGUUACCUCAACACUUACUGCCUUCUAUCCAAAAUUACUGUCAUCUUUCUCUUAUCAGAAUCAAGCUACAAUUAACUAAGCUAAACUAGCAAUAGGCUAACAAACACAAACUAAACCUGAAUUAUCAACUAAUUAACAUGUUAGUUAGACAAAUAAGCAAUUUAAACCACCAAAGCGAUUAUCAAAUGACUAAACUUCAGAUUCAACUAAAAUAAUUAAUUACUUAAAAAGUUAAAAUAAUUUUAAUUAUUAACCUAAGCAUGUUGUCAAACUAAUAAUUAACAAACUAAGACAUAGAAUCAGUAACUCCAAGGAAUGAAGAAAAGAGGUAGAGGAUUACCAUGUGAAACACUGUUGACCGGCGAGAAAAUAAUUCUGGACGAUAGCCGGCAUCGCCACACAGGCAUUGCCUUAUGCUUGAGGGUAUAACUAAUGUUGUAUGCGAUGAUGUUAGCCAUAAUCCGGUCGAAAAGAUCAACAUCAGAGGAAUUUCAGCAGUUCUGGCCAGCCAACGGUGGGUCGGUCAAAUUCUGACGACUUCGAAAUGAGCCGAAACUAACAUCAAUCGAUUGCUCUUGUAAAGAACAAUCGAUUAACAUAAGUUUCAAGCCAAAACGAGCUGGUAUCGCCCAAGAAAUCAGAAGAGAAAAAAAUUAUGUUUUUGAAUUCCUAAAUCUAUUACUCAUUGAUUUUGGUGAGGAUUUCGGGGAAAUUGGUAAGGGAUUUGGAUUGAGGAGAAGUUGGGGAUUAUGGGGUAUGAAUUUGAGGGGGAUUGGAGCUGUUUGGGGUGGUGCCGCCGGCGGAGGAAUUUUGGGGCGGCUAGGGUUUUGAGAGUAUUUGGGAGAGAUGAGGGAGAUGAGAGAAUGAGGGGUCCUUAGGUUUGGAGGGGCGGUUCAGACACUCUUAAGGGAUUUGGGGGUUCAGUUC
rnacentral:lncRNA from 1 species